CUUAUUUAUUGGUAUAAUAUGGAAAAUUUUAGGGAAGAUUUCUAAGUUAUAAUAGUUUAUGGAAGAAUUUCAUUUAUUUGAAAGUUAUAAUGUUGAAAUUAGUAGAGUAAGGAUUUAUUUGUUGUGGAUUAAUCUAUUCUAACAUUGGAGGGAACAAAUAUUUUGUAAUCGAGAAAUGAAUUUGUAAGGAUAGUCUUCUAACGCAAGUGAUAAAUAUGGAGGUUAAAUAAGAAAAAGGAAUUCGGCAAAUUUAUAUUCNNNNNNNNNNNNNNNNNNNNCGCCCUUUGUAAAGAAUCUAAUGUAUAAAGGGUCUUACCUGCCCAGUGACUUAGUUAAACGGCCGCGGUAUAUUGACCGUGCAAAGGUAGCAUAAUCAUUUGCCUCUUAAAUGGGGGCUGGAAUGAAUGGUGAGACGGGAAUCUAGCUGUCUCUUUCUUAUAUUUUGAAAUUAAUAUUUUUGUGAAGAAGCAGAAAUGUAGUCGUAGGACGAGAAGACCCUAUCGAGCUUUAAAUAGGGGGUGCAGCAGGUUUAGUAUUGUUUUUUGCUAAUUUAAUUGUUUUUGUAAAUAGUUUUUAAUUACUGAUAAAGAUUGUAGUGUUGUGCAUGCUAUAUUUAGGUUGGGGCAACCGCGGAGAAUAAUUAUCCUCCGUUAUUUUUAUUCUAAAAUGAUGUUUUUGGAUUUAAGAAUUUAAGUGUAAGUGAUCCGCUUUUAGGAGCGAGCAAAAGAAUAAGUUACCGUAGGGAUAACAGCGUGAUUUUUUUGGAGAGUUCAUAUUGAUAAAAGAGUUUGCGACCUCGAUGUUGGAUCGGGAUUUCCUAGGGGUGUAGCGGCUUCUAAGGGUUGGUCUGUUCGACCAUUAAAAUCCU
rnacentral:rRNA from 1 species